UACGAAGGGGGCUAGCGUUGUUCGGAAUUACUGGGCGUAAAGCGCGCGCAGGCGGCUAUCCAAGUCAGUGGUGAAAGCCCGGAGCUCAACUCCGGAACUGCCAUUGAAACUGUUUAGCUUGAGUAUGAGAGAGGUGAGUGGAAUUCCCAGUGUAGAGGUGAAAUUCGUAGAUAUUGGGAAGAACACCAGUGGCGAAGGCGGCCGGCUGGGGGUGCCCUGACGCUGAGGCGCGAGAGCGUGGGGAGCAAACCGG
rnacentral:rRNA from 1 species